AGUGAACGCUGGCGGUAGGCCUAACACAUGCAAGUCGAACGGCAGCACAGUAAGAGCUUGCUCUUACGGGUGGCGAGUGGCGGACGGGUGAGGAAUACAUCGGACUCUACUUUUUCGUGGGGGAUAACGUAGGGAAACUUACGCUAAUACCGCAUACGACCUACGGGUGAAAGCAGGGGAUCUUCGGACCUUGCGCGAUUGAAUGAGCCGAUGUCGGAUUAGCUAGUUGGCGGGGUAAAGGCCCACCAAGGCGACGAUCCGUAGCUGGUCUGAGAGGAUGAUCAGCCACACUGGAACUGAGACACGGUCCAGACGCCUGCGGGAGGCAGCAGUGGGGAAUAUUGGACAAUGGGCGCAAGCCUGAUCCAGCCAUACCGCGUGGGUGAAGAAGGCCUUCGGGUUGUAAAGCCCUUUUGUUGGGAAAGAAAAGCAGCAGGUUAAUACCCCGCUGUUCUGACGGUACCCAAAGAAUAAGCACCGGCUAACUUCGUG
rnacentral:rRNA from 1 species